UACGGGGGGGGUAAGCGUUGUUCGGAAUUACUGGGCGUAAAGGGCGCGUAGGCGGCCCGCUAAGUCGAACGUGAAAUCCCCGAGCUCAACUCGGGAACUGCGUCCGAUACUGGCGGGCUUGAAUCCGGGAGAGGGAUGCGGAAUUCCAGGUGUAGCGGUGAAAUGCGUAGAUAUCUGGAGGAACACCGGUGGCGAAGGCGGCAUCCUGGACCGGCAUUGACGCUGAGGCGCAAAAGCUAGGGGAGCAAACGGG
rnacentral:rRNA from 1 species